UAUUCAGAACUCGCACCAACACUAGGUUGCACUACACCAGUAUUCAGAACUCGCACCAACACUAGGUUGCACUACACCAGUAUUCAGAACUCGCACCAACACUAGGUUGCACUACACCAGUAUUCAGAACUCGCACCAACACUAGGUUGCACUACACCAGUAUUCAGAACUCGCACCAACACUAGGUUGCACUACACCAGUAUUCAGAACUCGCACCAACACUAGGUUGCACUACACCAGUAUUCAGAACUCGCACCAACACUAGGUUGCACUACACCAGUAUUCAGAACUCGCACCAACACUAGGUUGCACUACACCAGUAUUCAGAACUCGCACCAACACUAGGUUGCACUACACCAGUAUUCAGAACUCGCACCAACACUAGGUUGCACUACACCAGUAUUCAGAACUCGCACCAACACUAGGUUGCACUACACCAGUAUUCAGAACUCGCACCAACACUAGGUUGCACUACACCAGUAUUCAGAACUCGCACCAACACUAGGUUGCACUACACCAGUAUUCAGAACUCGCACCAACACUAGGUUGCACUACACCAGUAUUCAGAACUCGUACCAACACUAGGUUGCACUA